GUUGGGUGAUUCCUCGGUAAUAGAAGUCAAACAUUUUGGCGAUCCUGCCAGACUGCUGAAUUUUCAACAGAAAUUCUGAAUAUCUUUACUGAGGAAUCACCCGCACCGCAAGUGAGUUUGUUUAAUAAAAGGUGAAAAAAAUAGGAAACUUAAGCAUGAUCCGGAAAGUGGUCGCUGGUCAAUCGCCAACGCCGACGUAAGCAGCCAGGAUGCCAGGUUUUCUUGAUGGCGGAGUGCAUCGCCCACAUAAUGCAGUGAGCAUUUGUCGUGCAGAAAGCAAUGAACAACAGCAGCACCACACACAUCUUUUCCGAUAAGAAUGAGCCACGGCUAACCUGGCCAUGAAGGGUUUCCACAAGUCGAACAUUUCGGUUUUGGAGAAAAAAAAUCUAUGAAGACGCAGUAGCGGUAGACGAGAAUAUUUGCUGAGAGGGGUUAUAUUGAUUUUUUGAUGCUCGAGAAUACUAUUUGCAGACUGAGUGCAGCCGUAAAAUUAGGCGUUAACAUGGUGAUACAACGAGAAAAUACCGGAACAAUAACAGAUUUGAAACGUUUCAGUGCCGUAUUACGUGAGUGUUUCGAUGAUGUUGUGAAGUGUCUUGAGGAGCAAAGUCGAUGCCACUCCAAUGUAUCCAACGGUAUGCAGAUAACGUGUGAGGUUAAAAGAAAGUAAAUUCUAGCAUCUUUUAAUGGCAUUAGUGAACAGAACAGCCUUUGACUGGCGACUGGUUGCCGGAUUUUGGUUUUUCAUUUUAUCCGUUCAUUCAUUCAAAACAUAGUUCUUGGAUAUGAAAAUUCAUUGGGAACUCCAUUCAGAACCGCGAAGAAUUAUUACGUUGUCGUAUUGUAUUAGUAGGUAAUAUAUUCAAUGGAUCAAUAUUUUGUUCCAUUGAAAAAAAUUGAAAUACUUUUUUCAAUGGCAAUUCGUCAGCACAUUCACUUAAAUACAGGAGAAUUUUUUUUUGCUAUGCUAAGCAGUUUGUAUCAUUGGGAAAGUUUUAAAAAGUAUUCCGAACCCGGAAUAAGCGAACAGAGCAGAUUAGGUGAUUUUUAGUAACGAUUUAUAAUUAGAAUAGCAAAAUGAUAUUUCUUAUAAUGACCAGCAUUCAAUUAGAGAGGAUAUCAAGGAUCGAUAUGCUGUGACAAAUGGAAUGUGGUAACGUACCGAUAUUCUGGUGAGAAAUCAUCGGUAGAAAAUUUUAUGAUGUUAAAUUUCAAAACAGUCAUAAAUAU